UAAAUAAUAAAUAAAUAUUAUAGGACAUUAUUACACACAUUGACUAAGUCCCACAGUAAGCUCAAUAAGGCUUGUGUUGAGGGUACUUAGACAACGAUAAUUAUAUAUAAUAUAUAAAUAUUUAUAAAUACUUAAAUACAUAUAAAACACCCAUGAUUCAGGAACAAAUAUCCAUGCUCAUCACACGAAUAAAUCUAAGUAAUGGAAUACGGAAUACACAUACGUAACGGACCAUAGCGUAGGAAAGUUCUCGGAAACAUAAAUACAAACAUAGUCCUUCAGUAUGACUAGCAUACUUAGGUUUCUUGAACUUCUAGUCAGAUGAUGGUUUGAAUUUGUAGCUAAAUGCAAUUCUGGUGAACUUUUAUGAUCAGAUGUGUACCAACAGGUACAAUACUACAUAGGUACCUACCCAUACCUGCACAGUUGCACACUCAACCAAGUGGAUCUAUAAAAUUCAGUAUGUAAAUGGUUUCUAAUUAAAAUUACGUUCAGCUGUUUUAUAAUUGUGCCUUGUUUUCGUUUAGGGAAGUAAUUGAUUUCAGUGGGGUAUAACAAUUGUUGACACUAGUUUUGUAAUCAACUUAUUGAUUUUUCUAAUAAAUUCUUCUAUUGCUGAGUGAUCGCGAAUUUCGAUUGCAUUUUCCUUGAUAACAAAGCAAUUAAACUCGUCAAAGAGUUUUUCAUAAAGCAUGGCUAGAGAAAGUAUUUACCUUGGUACUGGUCCUGAUAUGCACGAUUGGCAGUUUAUGAGCCUAUUUAUUUUUCCUUUUGAAUAUCUGGUUUAAUCGGUUAUUGAAUUGACAUUCAGUAGGUCUAUUUAACAAUGAAGGUGUGUUUCUUACUUACUAGCCUACUUAUUUAUUUAGCAGUCGGGAUUCCAGUAACAGAUAUUAACCAUAAUACACGUCGGUUACUCGUGGACCUCAGUAAGCUCCUUCCGACGGCGCGGGCUUGCUCUAGUUGGUUCCCUCAAAACAGCAUCUACUGUACAACAAGUCAUCCUUAUUCAUAAGACUUUAUCUCAUACAUAUAAUAUCUUGUAAAUAAUAAUCAGCAUACAUGUGUACCGGCAAAAGGUACCAGACUUGCCUAAAAUUGAGAAUGAUGAAUACCUAGUUUCCUCCAAAAUUUAAACUCAUUUGUCGGGAAAUUAUAAAGUGUCCUGUUUACGUUCUGUCUUAUUCACCUGGAAGUGCUUUUAUUAAACUACCUAUUCAAUUUAUCAUCAUCAUCAUCAUUAUAUUAGCCUUUUAUCGCCCACUGCUGAGCAUAGGCCUCUCUUCCGUCUCUUCGAGUAUGCCACUUAUCCCGGUCCUGAGCCAAUCUCAUCCAGAAGUGACCCGCAAUCUUUCGAAUGUCGUCCACCCAACGAACCAACGAAAACAAUGUAUAUUCAAUUAGUUGGCAUUUCAAUUUUUAAUAAAAAUGUAUAUCAAUAGAGGUGACGUACAUGAUAUCAAAUUAUUGGGGUCGGUUGCAAAAAUAAUAAGAACUUAGGAAAAAUCACAGCUUAUGAAAUAUUAAUAUAGUGCCUCACCGGACCAAGUAGAUACUUGCAAGAGGACAGUGGACGACCGCUUCUCCAUGCAACCGUAGUCCCCGUUUUCUUCUCUGGAUAUUGAUAUAUAAAGAUAAAUAUUUUACACAAAUUAUGUUUGUUAAGCGAAAAAAAAAACGAAAAAAUAAAAACAUACGAAAGGCCA